rnacentral:rRNA from 1 species
GAUGAACGCUAGCGAUAGGCUUAACACAUGCAAGUCGAGGGGCAGCACAAGGUAGCUUGCUAUCUGGGUGGCGACCGGCGCACGGGUGCGUAACGCGUAUGCAACUUGCCCUAUACAGGAGGAUAACCCGUCGAAAGACGGACUAAUACUGCGUAUGCUCACAACUUGGCAUCAAGUGGUGAGGAAAGAAAUUCGGUAUAGGAUAGGCAUGCGUCCCAUUAGCUUGUUGGUGAGGUAACGGCUCACCAAGGCAACGAUGGGUAGGGGAACUGAGAGGUUUAUCCCCCACACUGGUACUGAGACACGGACCAGACUCCUACGGGAGGCAGCAGUGAGGAAUACUGGUCAAUGGGCGCGAGCCUGAACCAGCCAAGUCGCGUGAAGGAGGACUGUCUUAUGGAUUGUAAACUUCUUUUAUACGGGAAUAACAAGAGUCACGUGUGACUCCCUGCAUGUACCGUAUGAAUAAGCAUCGGCUAACUCCGUG